AUAAACCGCCUGCUGCAUCACGUCCCAUAUUUGCGCCAGAUAAUUCUGCAACGUCUGUGGCGAGUGGCGGCACAGCUCAUUUUUCAUCAUCAGCGCCGCCACGGACAGGCCGUUACGCCGACACAGCGCCAGCAACUGCGCGGCAUGACUAAAUUCAAAGGGCGACACUGUACGCAAAGGAAGCGAUGGCGUCAGCGGCUCGCCAUGUUUACGAACCUGCCCGGCGCCGGUAGAAAACCAGGUCUCUUCAUAC
rnacentral:misc_RNA from 1 species